ensembl:rRNA 5S_rRNA 5S ribosomal RNA
AGCUACAGCCAUAUCACCCUGCAGCCCAAGACCAGUAACUCACUGAGCUUAACAGGGCUGAGCCUGGUCAGAACCUGGAUGGGAGACCACAGGGCAAAAUUUGGUUGCUGUUGGAA